UGUCUCCAUAGCUCAGCUGGAUAGAGCACGGGCCUUCUAAGCUCGCGGUCGUAGGUUCGAAUCCUACUGGGGACGU
rnacentral:tRNA from 1 species